rnacentral:pre_miRNA from 1 species
AAGCAAAUCUCCAGGGGGAUUUGUUAAAAUGCAGACUCUGAUUCAGCAGGUCUGAGCUGUCACAUAAGUGUCUACAUUUCUGGCAAGUUCCCAGGGGAUACCAAA